rnacentral:rRNA from 1 species
GACGAACGCUGGCGGCGUGCCUAAUACAUGCAAGUAGAACGCUGAAGGAGGAGCUUGCUUCUCUGGAUGAGUUGCGAACGGGUGAGUAACGCGUAGGUAACCUGCCUGGUAGCGGGGGAUAACUAUUGGAAACGAUAGCUAAUACCGCAUAAUAGCAGUUGUUGCAUGACAACUGUUUGAAAGGUGCAAUUGCACCACUACCAGAUGGACCUGCGUUGUAUUAGCUAGUUGGUGGGGUAACGGCUCACCAAGGCGACGAUACAUAGCCGACCUGAGAGGGUGAUCGGCCACACUGGGACUGAGACACGGCCCAGACUCCUACGGGAGGCAGCAGUAGGGAAUCUUCGGCAAUGGACGGAAGUCUGACCGAGCAACGCCGCGGGAGUGAAGAAGGUUGUCGGAUCGUAAAGCUCUGUUGUAAGAGAAGAACGAGUGUGAGAGUGGAAAGUUCACACUGUGACGGUAGCUUACCAGAAAGGGACGGCUAACUACGUG